UUGGUAUUAUUGGGUUUGGUUACAGGAAGAGUGACGGAGCCAGCUGCUGGUGCCCAGAAAUUGUUCAUCUUUGUGAAUUGCUGAUGCAAGCAAAUGUUGCUAGCAAUAUAAUGGUGGGUCGAACAUCUCUUCGAGCGAGGUUGUGUAAGAAGAAAACGACGAGGCUGCCCAUAUUUUGAAAAUUCAACAGCAAAUUUAAUAAUGAUUGAUAAUUCGGGGGGAAAAAAAGAUAUAUGUCUAAGUUGUAAUCCUGACGAACAAACACAUGAUACCUAUGUUGCUGUGGAUGAUCCAGUAGUCCCAUCCAUUGGCACGACUGUCUGGAAGGGAGGCAUGUAUCCAAAAGGUGGAAGACCACUUGGCCAACUAGAUACAGCAACUGGUAAAUGCGCUAAGCUGGAUUCAACAGUUGUCUCCAAUUUAGAAAUAGCAGCUUUAGGUGGUUGUUUCUGCUGUAAUUUGGUAGCAUCGUCAUUGCUACAGUCGUGAUCCAGCUUCUCCAGAUCAAGCUUUAAUUUAGGCUUUUCUCCAAUUACCUUUAUCUUCUUAUCUUUAACUUCCACAACUGCUGCUUCCUUCACCGAUUCUUGUACCUGUUCUUCGUUUUUAACCUUAUUUUCUGUCUUCAUUUCCACAUCCUCGGAAGUGUGCUUAGGAUCCGAUGACAAAUCAAUAAAGCCAUCUCGUUCUGGAGAAGAUACCAUAGGAGGAGGUGCCAUCAAAUCGAUCUUGAACGUCCCCUUGCGCUGGCCCUCUACUUCUGAUGUAUUUGAAAUGGCUUUUUUCACUGUUGAAUCCUGGAAAUCAACAUCCAAUUUAGUGCAGGAAGCCAAUUCCUCCUCUGGUGACACAGAUUUUUCGUCGCUAGCAACUCCAGGUUCUUCAAUCGCCGAUUUUGAAUCCACUUGCUUAAUUACCUCCUCUUGCAAUUCUGGUGACUUGGACGCAGCUCGAGAAUCACCCGUAUUACGCGAAUCUUCACAAGGUUCCACAUUAUAUGUAGAAAUUUUCUCCACUUUUGGUGAAACAAGUUCCAUUUUCACAGGCUGCUCGCUUUCAUCUUUAACUGAAGAAGCAAUUGAACUGUUUUGGAAUGUUGCCGAUUCAGCCUCUAAUUUUCGCUUCUUUGAAGCAAGGAUGGGAUCGGUCGUAGGGCUACUGUUUUGGGAGAAAAACGAGCUCUGGACAGAGACUGGGGUCAGGGAUGACUUGGAAUCGUGAAUAGCACCAUUUGCAUCCUUAGAUUCAAGCUUCUGCAAAGAAUUUUCAGCGUCAUUCUCCUCCUUGGAGCCCUGUGAUUGCUUCAUUAACCCAUACAAAACCUCUGCGAUCUCAAUCUCGAUAUCCUCGUGGACCGUAGAUUUCCACACUUUGGAAAAACGAGUCUUGGGUCCAUUGAGUUUCAUCUUCUUUCUAACUGAAAUGUCCGACGAUGAAGGUGGCGAAGCCUCAGCGCUCCGACUCACCGAUGAAGUGGAAGCUCGCCGGUGUUUGAGGUCUUCCCCAAAUCCACCAUUUCCUGAAACCCAACUCUCGUGCGACCUUUUCAAAGAAGCUGAGCGAGCCUUCCUCGGUACAGACACACCAAUCAUUUCAUCAAGGACCUUCAAAGAUGGCACUUGUCUCAAACCAACUCCCGUCGGAGGCAGGCUCUUCCGGUGGCUGUGGCUUGUGAGCACCGAGGAAGAGGAUGUUGCAUUGGGAGGAAGCAUCCGAGACACUCUACCGUCAUCAAUUUCAUAGUCCUCUUCAUCACAGGCGCUCUCUUCCGUUGUUUCUUCCGCUUCUUCUCUGCUAAUCCCUAGCACCAACCCAUCUCCUGGUCUCCGCUUAUUCCUAUUCAACAAAUCUCGAUCUCUUAGCCUCGCUGAUUCUUGCAACUCUAUAUGCCCAUCCUCUUCAGAAGAAUCUCGAUGAGGGGUACUUAUGUGUUGCCUUCUUGACAAUCCACUAAAAGCAACCAUUUUUGAUCUUCUAGUUUCUCUGCUUCUAUCCAUAACGUUUAUCUUCUCUCAUGAAAUCUAAUUCACUAGCCAAUAUGUCUCGAAAAUCUAAAAACUUCCAGAGGACUAACCACAGUGCCGGAAAAUUUCACCGCAACCGCCGGCGACAUAAGCUUGAAAAACUUGCAGUCUUAUUUUCUCCACCUGAAAAAGGAGUCCUUGAGAACAGAGAAACAUGCAAGGAACACCGAAGCAGAUAUGAAUUCUCUCUCUCUCUCUCUCUCUC
rnacentral:misc_RNA from 1 species